UGAAUACGAGACGCUAAGGCGUCGAAGUAGUGUAUGUCAUACUUCCAAGAAAAGCUUGCACUGUCAUAGAUAAAAAACGCCUGUACCAUAACCGACACAGGUGGGUAGGUAGAGUAUACUAAGGGGCGCGAGAUAACUCUCUCUAAGGAACUCGGCAAAAUAACUCCGUAACUUCGGGAGAAGGAGUGCCUUAUUCUUAAGGUUGCAAUAACAAGAUCCAAGCAACUGUUUAUCAAAAACACAGGUCUCCGCUAAGUCGUAAGACGAUGUAUGGGGGCUGACGCCUGCCCAGUGCCAGAAGGUUAAAGAAGCUGGUUAGCAUUUGCGAAGCUAGUAACUGAAGCCCUGGUGAACGGCGGCCGUAACAAUAACGGUCCUAAGGUAGCGAAAUUCCUUGUCGGGUAAGUUCCGACCCGCACGAAAGGCGUAAUGAUUUGGAUACUGUCUCGGAGAGGGGCUCGGUGAAAUAGACUUGUCUGUGAAGAUGCGGACUACCUGCACCAGGACAGAAAGACCCUAUGAAGCUUUACUGUAACUUGAAAUUGAAAUUGGACUUUAUUCGCGCAGUAUAGGUGGGAGGCGUUGAUUAUAAUCUUGCGGGAUUAUUGGAGCCAUUAGUGAGAUACCACUCUUGUAAUGUUAGAUUUCUAACUUUGAAUCAUUAUCUGGUCAAAGAACAGUUUCAGGCGGGCAGUUUGACUGGGGCGGUCGCCUCCUAAACGGUAACGGAGGCGUACAAAGGUUUCCUCUGAACGGUUAGAAAUCGUAUCUAGAGUGUAAAGGCAUAAGGAAGCUUGACUGUGAGACCUACAAGUCGAGCAGGGACGAAAGUCGGUCUUAGUGAUCUGACGGUACUGAGUGGAAAGGCCGUCACUCAACGGAUAAAAGUUACUCUAGGAUAACAGGCUGAUCUCCCCCAAGAGUUCACAUCGACGGGGAGGUUUGGCACCUCGAUGUCGGCUCAUCGCAUCCUGGGGCGGUAGUACGUCCCAAGGGUUGGGCUGUUCGCCCAUGAAGGCGGUACGCGAGCUGGGUUCAGAACGUCGUGAGACAGUUCGGUCCAUAUCCGGUGUAGGCGUUAGAAUAUUGAGAGGAGCCUUCUUUAGUACGAGAGGACCGAGAAGGACAUACCUCUGGUGUACCAGUUAUCGUGCCAACGGUAAACGCUGGGUAGCUAUGUAUGGAGUGGAUAACCGCUGAAAGCAUCUAAGUGGGAAGCCCACCUCAAGAUAAG
rnacentral:rRNA from 1 species